CACCUUGAAGGGAACUUUCCAUGUCAAAGACUCUAACUUGCUGGGAUUGAGUCACUCUUCAAGAACAUACAAAGGCAGGAUAUGCAGACAUUUUGGAAAAAGUACUUGAGACCUCAGUGGUUGCAAGAACUCCUUGACCAGUGUUUCCCAAAAUCUGUUCCUUGAUAUAUCCCUAUUCGGCAAGAGCCAUGAGGAUGAAGAUUUAUCUGCUGGAAUCUCCAGUGUCUGGACCCGGCACAAAAUUCGUUUUUCUCCUGGUUUCAAGAUUCUACAGUAAUUCCAGACGUGACAUCAUCCAGACAAGAAAAUGUUUAGAGGAAGAAGAAACCAUUUUCUGUCUGUAUCUUUGUUAAAGCAAGUUAACUUUUCCUAGCUGCCCCCAACAGACUUUUCUUCAUGGUUCAGUGGCCAGAAUUAUCAUUUGCCCUGAACCAAAGACACCUAAAGUGCGUAGAACCACUUUGAUUGGCUUGGAACAUCAUUGUCAACUCCCUCAACCUCCAUCCCUGGGCUGGCCCGGGGACCAGCCUUCCCUAGACACAUGGCUCUCCGGACGUGGUUGUUUAUACUAACAAAACCAAGUCUGUGAGGAAGUAAGAGCGGAAGAAAAGAAUGUUAAAGAGGCACCCAACAGUAAUGCUACAUGGAAUGGAUUUUCUAAAUACUAAAAAAUUAAAAGUGCAUUUAUGAUGAGAAUAGAACCUUAGGUUCCAGGACAAAUUCUCAAGAGAACUUGGAUCCAAGUAAAGUAAUUUUUGACACUUCCUCAUCACCUCCCUCACAGAUGACCCUCUCCUCCCUCACAAAUACCAAUCCCCCUCCCAAUGUUUCACCUUCAAGCUAACCUCUAGUUGCCCGGGAUUCCCAAGAUGUCUCAUUUAGAC